AUACAGAGGGUGCAAGCGUUAAUCGGAAUUACUGGGCGUAAAGGGUGUGUAGGUGGUUGCGUAAGUUAGAUGUGAAAUCCCCGGGCUUAACCUGGGAACUGCGUUUAAAACUGCGUAGCUAGAGUAUUGCAGAGGAUAGUGGAAUUUCCAGUGUAGCGGUGAAAUGCGUAGAUAUUGGAAGGAACACCAGUGGCGAAGGCGACUAUCUGGGCAAAUACUGACACUGAGACACGAAAGCAUGGGGAGC
rnacentral:rRNA from 1 species